GACGAACGCUGGCGGCGUGCCUAAUACAUGCAAGUCGAGCGGACCGGAUUGGGGCUUGCCUUGAUUCGGUCAGCGGCGGACGGGUGAGUAACACGUGGGCAACCUGCCCGCAAGACCGGGAUAACUCCGGGAAACCGGAGCUAAUACCGGAUAACACCGAAGACCGCAUGGUCUUCGGUUGAAAGGCGGCCUUUGGGCUGUCACUUGCGGGUGGGCCCGCGGCGCAUUAGCUAGUUGGUGGGGUAACGGCUCACCAAGGCGACGAUGCGUAGCCGGCCUGAGAGGGUGACCGGCCACACUGGGACUGAGACACGGCCCAGACUCCUACGGGAGGCAGCAGUAGGGAAUCUUCCGCAAUGGGCGAAAGCCUGACGGAGCGACGCCGCGUGAGCGAAGAAGGCCUUCGGGUCGUAAAGCUCUGUUGUGAGGGACGAAGGAACGCCGUUCGAAGAGGGCGGCGCGGUGACGGUACCUCACGAGAAAGCCCCGGCUAACUACGUGCCAGCCGCCGCCGUAA
rnacentral:rRNA from 1 species